UACGGGGGGAGCAAGCGUUGUUCGGAUUUACUGGGCGUAAAGGGCGCGUAGGCGGUCAGCACAAGUCAGUUGUGAAAUCUCCGGGCUUAACUCGGAAAGGUCAACUGAUACUGUGCGACUAGAGUGCAGAAGGGGCAACUGGAAUUCUCGGUGUAGCGGUGAAAUGCGUAGAUAUCGGGAGGAACACCGGUGGCGAAGGCGGGUCUCUGGGCCGAUACUGACGCUGAGGAGCGAAAGCGUGGGGAGCGAACAGG
rnacentral:rRNA from 1 species